GCCCUUCAUCCCACAAUGUCUGUGCCAUACGUAAUGCUGAUAAACUAAUCCCAUCGGCCUGCACAUGAUCCUUAUCCCCCCUCAA